rnacentral:rRNA from 1 species
UACGGGGGGGGCAAGCGUUGUUCGGAAUUACUGGGCGUAAAGGGCUCGUAGGCGGCCAACUAAGUCAGACGUGAAAUCCCCCGGCUUAACCUGGGAACUGCGUCUGAUACUGGAAGGCUUGAGUAUGGGAGAGGGAUGUAGAAUUCCAGGUGUAGCGGUGAAAUGCGUAGAUAUCGGGAGGAAUACCUAUGGCGAAAGCAGUCUUCUGGACCAUCACUGACGCUGAUCUGCGAAAGCUAGGGGAGCAAACAGG